ACUCCUCCUGCGGCACCGCGCGGCGGGAGCGGAAAGGAACACGUCGGUACCGGAGGGGUACACACCCGCAGUGACUUUUCCAUCUCUGUGCUCCUCGACCAGCGGAGAGGAGAGGAUCAGAUCACGCGCUAGAGAUCAGCUCUCUACGUGUCUCUGCUGUGAUGUGAAGCACGGGAGCACUCACACUCCCGCUCUGGGAUCCGCAUUUUCCCCUUUUCCUUACCCCGCCCGUAAGGACUGGCACUGCCCACAGGCACUCAUCUUCUCGUUCGGACCAUCCUCCGUCUGCUGCCCGCGUGUUCAGAACGCGCCUCAAAUCGGGCUGCUACUUCUUCAGAGCAGCCCCUGAAUAUACUGCAACGUCAGCAUACCUUUCUUACUUUUCCAUUAUUACUUUUAUUAUUACUAUUACCGCUAUUAUUUUAAGCGUAGGGAUGUGUAAUUUCCGACUGCACGAACCAACGAAGCUCUUUCCGAAGCGGUGCGGAGCCGCUGACGAACUCUAGAACUCAGGGAGGGGGGAGGAGAGACAAAGUGGUCUGUCAGGUUUGGAGGCAUCACACGAUUGGUUCUGAAGCCGCUGAAAACAGAGCAAAUGAUUCCGCAGGGGCAGAAGGCGGUCCCGCUGCUCACGCCGCAGGUGCGCAGCCGUUCGUUUGGAGGUGUAGCCCCGCGCCACAACUCCCGUUAAACGCACGUACACGUGUGGCAGAGGAAGGGAAGCUGCUCAGCUUUCUCGGAGAUAUUUAGGGAGGAGGGAAUAAAACCUGUUGAAC
rnacentral:lncRNA from 7 species